rnacentral:rRNA from 1 species
CCACUUUCAACAACGGAUCUUUGGCUCUCGCAUCGAUGAAGAACGUAGCGAAGUGCGAUAAGUAAUGUGAAUUGCAGAAUUCCGUGAAUCAUCGAAUCUUUGAACGCAAAUUGCACUCUCUGGCAACCCGGGGAGUAUGCCUGUUUGAGGGUCAGU